GUGCUUGCUUUGGCAGUACAUAUACUAAAAUUGGAAGAAUCCAGAGAAGAUUAGCAUGGCCCCUGUGCAAGGAUGGCAGGCAAAUUCUUGAAGACUUCCAUAUUUUU
ensembl:snRNA U6 U6 spliceosomal RNA